rnacentral:sRNA from 2 species
ACAGCCUCUAUCGCUUAGAAACACCCAAAAUUCGGGUUCUUGUUAUUUACUUCCAUAUUUGCCGGGAUAGCGUUGGCUAGAAAUCCCUAACCCUUAAGGCACCUCCGCGUGUUAUUGGUCAUCGACCUACCCAAGACGAAUGAGGGGGCAUUUCCUUAGUUUGCCAAUUCGUCUCUAUUAGGCACAUACGAUGAAUCCUUCCCCCUCUCCCCCUUCCCAAUCCUUCUGAUGUUGAAGAACGAGAUUAAAAAGAGGGAAGUUCAUCACGACGAAUCCACUCGGAAAUAGGUUCAUACAAAAGUUCGCAUGGCACAGUGCUGCUGAUAUCGAUUUCACGAAACCAGG